rnacentral:rRNA from 1 species
UACAGAGGUGGCGAGCGUUGUUCGGAUUUACUGGGCGUAAAGGGAGCGUAGGCGGCUUGAUGUGUCGGGUGUGAAAUCCCACGGCUUACCCGUGGAACUGCACCCGAAACUAUUAGGCUAGAGUAUCGGAGAGGUAAGUGGAAUUCCUGGUGUAGCGGUGAAAUGCGUAGAUAUCAGGAAGAACACCGGUGGCGAAGGCGACUUACUGGACGAAUACUGACGCUGAGGCUCGAAAGCUGGGGGAGCGAAAAGG